rnacentral:misc_RNA from 1 species
UGGGGUAUGGAAGGAUACUUCUACCUAAGGAGGAACACUAAUUUGCCAUAUGGUGUUUGUGCCGUCAAUGCUAUGGCCUCUUAUCCAACCAAAGAAUCCACUGCUCCAUCUCCACCUAGUCCUCCACUCCUCCGUCCCCACCAUCACCGCCACUAGAGCAAGGGAGAUUGCCUGGGAGUGGUUGCAAAGGAGCGGUAUAUCGCUAAGCACAAGUUCCCCUCUGAAGCAAGCUAGAUGAAAGCAACAAGAGAGAAAAAACCAACCUCUCCAGUGGAAGAGGAAC